rnacentral:rRNA from 1 species
UACGUAGGGUGCAAGCGUUAAUCGGAAUUACUGAGCGUAAAGCGUGCGCAGGCGGUUUUGUAAGUCUGUCGUGAAAUCCCCGGGCUCAACCUGGGAAUUGCGAUGGAGACUGCAAGGCUGGAGUCUGGCAGAGGGGGGUAGAAUUCCACGUGUAGCAGUGAAAUGCGUAGAGAUGUGGAGGAACACCGAUGGCGAAGGCAGCCCCCUGGGUCAAGACUGACGCUCAUGCACGAAAGCGUGGGGAGCAAACAGG